UAAGGUUUGUUUCAGAUGAACUGAGCUUUGCAAGCAACACACACACCAAGAAAAUAAAUGGAUGCUUUUGGCAAAUUGGUUUCUAGAAACGGAUUCCGGACUAUGGAGUUGACAGAAACGCCAUGGAGGCAAUGACUGCGGACCAAAGGAAUGAAAGGUGCAAGUGAGAAGACACUGGGCACUAACCGGCGCAUUCAGACAGCAGUGGUUGAACCCGCUAUCUCGAGGCAGAGUAAAACUUCGAGGCUUGCCCCCAUUGCCGUUUAACACUUGCAUC